rnacentral:misc_RNA from 1 species
GAGAACCAAGAGAUCCGUUGUUGAAAGUUUUGACUAUUAGUAAUAAUCUGGUGUGACAAGUUGAUAAAAAAUUGGUUGUAAGUUUAGACCUCUGGCGGCAGGCUGGGCCCACCGCCAAAGCAAGUUUGUUUCAAAGAAAAACACAUGUGGWGCAWUUAAGCAAAUCAKUWAUGAUCCUU